CUAAAUAAACACGAAUAUUCUCCACCCUUUCCUAAAAAUACACUUAACCCGAAAUUUACACGAUACAAAAAACUACAGCAGUUUCCUUUCAGACUUUCGGGUUGUGAGAGGAUGUAAACUUUCCCAAUACUAAAUACAUUGGAUCAUUAAAAUACGGACAUGCAAAUUUAUUCUGAUUUGAUGCGAAAAACUGGAUAAACGUUAACCAUAUUAUAUCGGAAAAGUGCGACGGAACACAAAAUUAUUUUCCCGUGUGCAAAAGAAGGAUUUCUAAAUUCCAAUGGAUUCCACGGCAAGGAAAUGGAUUAACUUGUUCCACAUGCUUGAAAACCUUCAGCUCUAAGCAAACCUUAAGGAUUCACAUGUUCACGCAUGACGCGAAAGUGAAAUGUGAGAUUUGCGGGAAAAUCUCGAAGAACCCACCAGCCUUAUCUGACCACAUAAGAAUGGUUCACACCAACCGGCAUCGACCUAGAUGUGACAGCUGUGACAGUGAGUUUUACACAUCCGCAACCUUACGGAAACACAUCAGUACGGUACACAGCACGAUUGAACGGCCACGUUUUCCAUGCGGGUUUCCUGACUGUGACAAAUCCUACCUGACUAAAUCCGAUGUUUCGCAACAUAAAAGAACUUAGCAUACCGAGAAUCCGACCCGAUUUCCAUGCACAUUAUGCGGUAAAGAAUUUAAAACCAGGACCCACCUUGAGUCGCAUAUUGCCACCCACACCACGGAAAAGGCCUACCCGUGUUCAAAUUGUGUGAGGAGCUUUUCCACAUAUUCAAGAAGGAAGUUUCACGAGGUUACACAUUUGGAAAAAUCUACUCGAAGAAUUUUCAAGUGUGAAUUUUGUCUUCAGACUUUCCUGCUUAAAGUUUAUUUACAAAGGCACGUCCGAAUGGUGCAUGAAAAUCGGGGGAAUCGUACGUGUACAUUUUGUGACAAAAGAUUCUCGACAUCGGGAAAUAUGAGACGUCACGUGGAGGUAACACAUCCCACAUCUUCGGAGAAGCUUCAUUCCUGCGAUAAGUGUGAGUACAGAAGCCAUUCGAAAGUAAAUUUAGCCCGACACGAGAAGCGGCACAAUUCAACGAAUCGACGGGAAUGUUACUUCUGCAAUAAGCAGUUUUUAUACUUUUCAAGUUUGGUGACACACGGUCGUCGUCACACUCUAGAACAGUGAUGAUCAUGGACAUUUAUGGUUGCACGUUUACAUAUGCCAGAUAUUAUUAUUAUGCCGACGAGAUGUACAAUUGUACAUAUAUAUGUAGUUAUUUUAUUAUGGCCAAUUAAAAUCUAAAACUGAA